CGGCAGAGCCAGAGGCCUGGGCCCAAGUCCUGCCACCAGCUGGCUGUGAAACUGUGGUACAGCACCUUGUGUCCUGCCACCAGCCGGCUGUGAAACUGGUACAGCACCUUGUCCUCAGGUCCUUGGUUUCCUCACUUGUAAAUUCAUGGUUCUCCAUGGCAUCUCUGGUCUUCAACAUUAUUUUGCAUAGAGUCUCAGAAGCUUUAGUGUGAGCGGAUGAUAUGGGCACGAAGCAAGGCACCCAGAAGUGGGGGCAACUACUCUGCUUUCUAAAAUGCAAGGGAACCGGAAAAUCCAGGAGCCGUGCCAAAUGAGAAGAGGAACAAAUGGAGGAACAUCCCAGUCAAGUGACAUUCCUAGUGACAUUCACCAGAACAGAGUCAAGCUUUGGAUCCCAUGUUCUGUGACUUCCUCUUCACCACGCUUCCUCCACACACGUAGCAGCUCAAGGGUUUCUGAUGAGUGGGAGGCUUGACUAGAAUUGAAUUCGAGACAAGCACAAAGAUCAUGAUGCAAAUGAAAGGGACAGAGGGGAGAGAAACAGAAAACAAGUCUAUGUUCCCUUUAUGAGCUGUAACGCACACCAUGAAGGUCUGCGGCUUGGCUAUUGAGUCAGUGAGAGCGUGAACCUACUAUUAGAAGAAAAACUCUGAAUACGUCUGAACGUCAGAAAGAACGAAGUUUGGACACAUUGUCUUUAAGAACUGUAACACUCACCCCAAGGGUUUAUGGAUUCAUUCUUGAAAUCAGUGAAACCAAAAGCUUUCCAAAGUUUAACACACAGGGAAAUGACUUACUGCAAAGAACCACUCUUCCCCACGAGACUUCGAGAAGACCCGCUGUCACGGACUGAGUUGUGUCCUCUUAAAAUUCAGAUGUUGGAGUCCAAACCCCCAGUAACUCAGAGUGUGAACGUAUUUGAAGAGGUCUUUAAAGAGGUGAUGAAGGUCUUUGUCUCUGACAAUUUGCCUCUGUGACGUGGAUGGGACUGGAAGUCCAUUUGGAGCCCUGUCUUCUCCACCUAGGGAGAGAGACCCCAUGAGCUCGUCAAGCUCCUUCUGUGACUGAUCAGAGAUCCCACCGUGAGUCCAGCUCCUGGUCCCAUGCUCUGGAUAUAUCGGUCCCUGGCAGCGUGCAACUCCUUAGCCAAAGACGUGGCAACUGCGGGUGAAGUAUCUCUGGGCAGGAAAUCAAUGCAGAAAUGCAACUGGGGAGAGGGGGCUUGGGGGCCAGUUCCAGGGAGAUUGGAACUGCUGUGUUCUCAUCAGCAGAAGUGGCCCCUGCCCACCCCCAUCCUAAUCCCUUCUCAUGUGGGAGAAGGUCUGUGAGCCCUCUCCCUACCAGGCAGGUUCUAUGGCAAUGUGGGCACAUACCCUGGGGCAGGGGCCGAGGGACUUAACUCACUUCAUGAGCGCCAAUGGAGGAGCGAAGGGAAUGCCUGAUGAAAACAACAUUCUACCAGUAUGCACUGUUUUCUAACCUACAGAGUGCCUCUGUGUUCACUGUCCCAUUUGAGAAUUCUAAGUAGAAUUCUGAACAGGCUGGAGCAGAUUGCCCACCCCAAGGGACAGAUGUUGGCUGGUACUGUUGGUAUUCAUGGAAGAUUCCUUCUGACACUCCCUCCUUCUUUGUAAUUGCCAUGAACUGGAGCACUGGGCCAAUAUAAAUCAUCCAAGGGUGAACACGCUGCACAUGGACGGCUCCUCUUUGUUUUUGAAGGGAUUCCAUCUCUAUUUUGCCAUGUGCUCCUUCACCCCACUCCCCACCCCCGUCUUUCAUUUCUUUCUCUGGAAAAGAUACUUCAACUCACAGGACUGCGAUGUUGAAACGGACACCCAAGAGCAUCACAGAUGGGCCAGGCCUGGACCUCUCGGGACAACAUUCCUCACGACUUUUAGAUAGAAGAGAUUAGAGAUUUGGGACUGGUGGCAACUGGUAACGUUUUCAGUGUUUGGUAAACAGCCAGGGUCCGGAGCUCUGGGAACAGCCUGAUUUAGCUCUUUGUUUAAGUUUUGUGUUAGAGGCUCCCAAGAAGCUGAUGCAGGGGAAAGAAAUUAACAACCAUGGCUCAUUCACAGCCAGGCAGCCAAAUGGACAGCUCUAUAAGACUCAAGCCGACAGCGGAGAGAGUGCAACCAAACAGCCUUGGCCCAGCUUUCAGAGGAGAACGUUAUUCACCCCAACUGCUCUGCAUCUGCCUGGAUGUCUGCCAAGAUCUGUGAGCAUUACAGCGUUGGUAUGCUUUGGGUGAGGCCUGUGGCUAUGGCAACAAGUUGGGAGCAACCCGGUCCCUGGGAAUGAGAACAGUGUCUAAAAUCAGGCAGGCGAGGGGCAGGGAGGAGAGGUAAAGGUUGGACUUGCCUGAAGAUGGAGCCGUUUUAUUGUUGUGGGUAAAGCUGCUACCAUUAGGGGCUGUUUACAGAGUGGGUGCAGCUCAAGCUGGGAGCAUGUUAGACUCAGCGACUACGAUCAACCUAUUGACUUGUUCCCAUGAGACAGAGUAAAUUAACUGUUGCAGUACUGGUCAUGUACCACCAACCUCCUGUGAACCAGCCCUCAGUGAAACAUUUAUGUGAAAGGCCAUGGUGUUCCCAUAAGAGGGUGCAUGUUCUCUCCCUUGACUAACUCUUCAGUAUGCCUCAUUCUCACGCGCUGGUGUGCAGGAAGGAGUCCAACAUGCCCCAUUGACAGUCAUGCCCUGUAUGUGGAAAGUCUUCAGGUAGAGCACUGGGCUCAGGUUUGAAGAUGUGAGUUCUAAUCCUAGCAAGGCCAUUACCUCCCAGUGACCUCAUGUCUCGAUUUCCUCAACCACAAAACAAAGGCAUUGGUGAGCUGACCUCUAAGGCCUCUCCAGUUCUCACCUUCUGUGUCUCUACAGACUGGAGACUAGAAGAUUAUGGGCACUUUUAUUGAGUCUUCAUUUUGUUUCCAUUUCUUUGUAGUCAUCAGCUGGAGUUGAGGACAAGUUUUAACAAUAGAUAGGUUUCUUUUUGUCUCUUUUUAAAAAAUUUUAUUUAAAAUAAAUGCCAAGUGUAGUGGCUCAUACCUGUAAUCCCAGCACUUUGGGGAGGCCAAGGUGGGAGGAUUGCUUUUGAGUUUGAGACCAGCCUGGGCAACGUGGUGAGACCCUGUUUGUACAAAAAAUUUUAAAUUAGCCAGGCAUGGUGGCGUGUGCCUAUAGUCCUAGCUACUCUGGAGGUAGAGGCAGGAGGAUCCCUUGAACCUGGGAGGUUGAGGCCACAGUGAGCUGUGAUUGUGCUAUUGAACUCUAGCCUGGGCAACAGAGCAAGACCCUGUCUCUUAAAAAAGACUAUUUUUUAAGAACACUUUUAGGUUCACAGCGAAAUUUGGAGGAAACUUGGCAUAUGUCAUAUGCCCCCUGCUCCCAUGCAUGCACAGCCUCUACCAUUAGCAAUGUCCCCACUCAAAUGGUACCUUUGUUGUAAUCAACAACCCUGUACUGACACAUCAUCAUCACCCAAACUCCAUAGUUCACAUUAGGUUUCACUCUUGGUGUGGUGUACAUUCCAUGGGCUUGAACAACUGUAUAAUGACAUUAUCCACCACUGCAGGAUCAUACAGAGUAGUCUCACUGCCCUAAAACUACUCUGUGCUCCACCUGUUUGUCCCUUCUUUCACUCUAAACUCCUGGCAACAACUGACCUUUUUACUGCCUCGAUAGCUUUGCCUUCUUCGGAAUGUCAUGUAGUUGAAAUCAUACAUCAUGAAGCCUUUUCAGAUUGGCUUCAUAUAGGUUUCCUUCCUUCCUUCCUCCCACCACCUUCCUUUCUUUCUGUAUUCCUAACUCUUGGAUGUAUUUUCCCCAGCAUCAUGACUUGAUGGGACUUUUGCUAAGAUAGGCAAUCAUAGAAAGUCAUAAAUCUCUUGUCAGCCUUAUUGGCUCACCUCCGAGAUGGUUCCAACACUCUUUAAGGCCCACUUUUCCAAUCCACAGAUUCCCCAGCAGAAGUCCAAGCUGCUGAGCCUCACAUCAUCUUUUGCACUAGUAAUCUUUACCACUACUUCACUGUAGCAUUUGAAAAUUUUCAUAUGAAGCCAUAGUUCUGUGUCUUUUUUUUUUUUUUUUUUUUUUUGGAGACGGAGUCUUAACCUGUUGCCCAGGCUGGAGUGCAGUGGCACAGUCUUAGCUCACUGCAAGCUCCGCCUCACGGGUUCAAGUGAUUCUUGCCUCAGCCUCCCAAGUAGCUGGGAUUACAGGCGCGCCACCAUGCCCAGCUAAAUUUGUUGGCAUUUUUAGUAGAGAUGGGGUUUCACCAUGUUGGCCAGGCUGGUCUCAAACUCCUUACCUCAGGUGAUCUGCCUGCCUCAGCCUCCCAAAGUGCUGGGAUUAAAGGUGUGAGCCACCGCACCUGGCCUGAAGCCAUAGUUCUUAACCUCAGUUGUGCAAUAGAAUUAUCUGGGGAAUUUAAAAAUUAGAAAAAACCCAUGCCCUGAAGAUUGUGAUCUAACUGGUCUUGCGUAGCGCCUGGGCAUUGGUAUUUUUUAAAUGUUUCCCAACUGAUACUAAUGUGGCCAUUCUGCAAGCCACAGUUGAAAGGCUUAUUCAAGCAUCCUGUUGCUGAAUGCAUGUCGUCCUUACCACAUGACUCUGGAGGUUUUCUUGUAUUCUGAUGUGGCUGCCCUGUUGAGGCCUGCCCCUUAGAGUGGAGAUUAUCCCCUGCAGUAGGCUGCCUGGAAUAUGAUCCCCAGUGAUCCCUGCUUCCUGGUAUUCAGGCCCUGGUGUGAUCCCUUUCCCUUGAAGCCUGGGCUGGAUUAGUGACUUGCUUCUAACCAACAGCAUAUGGCAAAA
rnacentral:lncRNA from 1 species